rnacentral:rRNA from 1 species
ACGCUCGACACCUACGGGAGGCAGCAGUGGGGGAUAUUGCACAAUGGGGGAAACCCUGAUGCAGCAACGCCGCGUGAAGGAAGAAGGUCUUCGGAUUGUAAACUUCUGUCCUCAGGGAAGAUAAUGACGGUACCUGAGGAGGAAGCUCCGGCUAACUACGUGCAAGCAGCCGCGGUAAUCUGAGCGGGCUGGCAAGGC